GUACCUAACUAUCCAAAAUAUUACUUUUUUUUUCAUUUAAAGUGAAUCUCGUUUUUGCUGAUCUAUAAUGAGGGUAAUAAUUUCUGCAGAGCGUUGAGAGGUGCUUCAAGGAUAUAAUCAAGAGUUCGGGAGAUAAAACGAUGUUGCAUAAUUUUAUUUCAAUUUGAGAUAAAUGUUGAGAAAAUUUGAUUUUUUAUUGCAACUACUUGAUUGUAUGUACAAGUGAAGCUCUGAUUUGAUGUGUCUGUGGAGUAAGUGAGUGAUCAAUCAUGUAUACAAAGUUUUUAUUUAUUUUUGUUAUUAUUUUUGAAGCUUUUCGAAAAAAUGAAGGCCAAGUCACAAUUAAGGACACGGUCCCAAUUUCCAAAAGAUUUGAAGCCGAAGGAAUCGUUCCUCAUAUGAUUGAUUGCCCUCCAAAUUACACAGCCACAGUAACUUUCCCAUAUGAUGUGAGGGUAUUCCCAGGUUUGAUAUUGAAUAUAUUAGAAGUUGAUACGAAACCUAGACCAAGAUGGAGAGCCAUAGAUGAUGCCACAUAUUACACCAUAAUCAUGAUUAGUUUGUCCAGAUUUACCCCAACAUAAUGUUCCCUAUGCUGAAUGGAAUCCUUGGAUAGUUCGCAAUAUUCCUGGUUUGAAACGUGCCAAAGGCCAGACCAUUAUUCCUUAUAAUAUGCCUGAAGAGCCACGUCGAAAUGCAACAUUUUUAAUGUACGUGUUCUUGAUUUACAAGCAAAAUGAAUACAUUACUUAUAAUGAUUCGUAUUACCAAAAUGAAGGGAUGAUUGAAAGAGGUGAAUUCAGAGUACGAAAAUAUACUCAAAUUUAUAACCUGACCUGUCCCGAAGCUGGCAAUUAUUACGUGUUGACUUUUUAUCAACCUCCUGCAGCGGUAGAAACUACCAGAAGUACUGUUCACUUUGAGUGGUGAUUUCUGAAUGAUUUCUCUACUGACGGAUUUUAAAUCUAACUAAAUGAAUUAUGUAACUCGAUUUCGAUAGUAUUUUAAUUUUUUUAUUUAUUUUGUUGAAUAAAUUUAUAUUUUUUUUUA